CCAAAUCCCACACAAUCAUUCUCUCAAUCUUCUCUCAAAUCACCUUCGAGUUUCCAUCUGUAAGUUCAAAAACCCUAAUUUCCAUCUUCUUGACAUAAGAAUCGCAUAUGCUUCUCUUCAUUGUAAAUCACAAACCCUAAAUCUUAAAGACAAAAAACCUUCUCAUCCAGGUAUGAAUAUCUCUGGAUUCCUCUUUGCGGUUGUGGUUGUAUAACUUCUUCUUUGAUCGGUGAGUUCAAACCCUAGAUUAUUGUUCUUUGUUGAGGCUUGAUCUAGGGCUCGAAUUGAUUUUUUUUCUUUGAGUCGAACCACUUGCAACCAUUCCUUCCUAUAGGUGUCCCCUUCUUCGUCUCCGGUCUCAUCGUCAAUCUCCUUCAGGCACUUAUAUUCGUAACUGUACGCCCAUUUUCAAAGAGUUUGUUUAGAAGGAUUAACAGACAGGUCGCCGAGCUCUUGUGGCUGGAGCUUGUGUGGAUCGUUGAUUGGUGGUCUGGAGUUAAGGUCAGCUUCAUUUUAAUCGUUUUGUUGAAAUCAGUCUUCUCAUCUGCAAACAUGGAUCUAAUCGAUUACAUCUCUCUCAUCAAAGAUGUUGCAACCAACAAUUUUUAUUUGGUCAAACACGGGUAGCUUCUUCUUAUAUGUUGUAGGUUUGGUAUUCGAUCUUGGAAUUUCUUGAUUAUAUGAUGGUGAAAACAUUUAUGAUUUGUGAUUCGGUAUUCAGAUUCUUGGUUUAGGUUUUUAUUUCAACCUAAAUCUCAUGUUUUCUAUAUUGUCUUUUAUAUUGUAAUAAAGUUUUGAUUUUGGGUUUAAUGAUCGCUCGCUCGGGGUUGCUGACAGUUCUGUUAAAAGCGUAAAAAAAGUUCUCAGAUCCCCAUACAAGGUAUUAAAACAGAGUCUUUAUGCAUAUGUGACCUGAUUUUCGGGUUUGACUUCAUUCGUUUGAGCUGUUAGAAAUAAAAUAUUAUAUGAAUUGACUUAUGUUUGUUGCGCAGAGAUUAUCAUCUCAUUUUCUUUCAAUUUACAAAUUUUAAUUGUUGGCUGAGUUGGCUCAAGUACUAUUUUGAUUGUUCUAUUUAUUCAAGAAAGUGAAAAGAAGCCAUCUUUUAGAUCUUCGUCAUCUCUGUUGUGGUUGGAAUCAACUCGAUUUUUCAUAGAUAAGGACAAAGUUGUGCAUAUUAUAUGUUUCAUCCCAAUCUAAUAACAUGGUAGAAAUGCCUACUUGAUUGUGGUGUUUUAUCCCAAUCUGAUAACACACAGUAGUGGUGCAGGUGUGUUUCAUGGGUUGUUGCUUUGGGGCUAACAAAAUAAACUUAAAAUUUUGAUCUUUGUUAACCCUUCAGAUUGGUUUUUAAGGUUAUUUUUUUUGUUUAUACACAAAAAAAUUAACUAAAUCAAAGCUUUUUAAAUCACAAGAUGUUUAUAUCGUGUUACCUAGCCCAGCCAGGUAUAUCUUAAAUAUAGUUGUAAUUUCAAAAUUGUGUAGAGCAUGUUAUUGGUACUGUUUUGGUUCAACAUGUGAGUUAUAUUUUAAUGUUUAUACCCUGUGUCGAGCCCUAAGUCAAUAACCCAUGAAACCCAAUCAUGGAUUGGCAAGAACUGCUCCACGUACAUCUAAUCUCAACGAAGGGUAUGAUACAUGUACAUAAAUCAUGAGUAAAAACAUGGUUUGAUACUGGUGAUCGUGAUUUUUUGGUGGUGAAAAUGAGUGGAGCCAGUGGUUUGGGCGGGCAGAUCUGGUAGCAGAUGGGUUGUAGGUGGAUAGGGGAGUCGGUAGUUGUUGUUUGUGGCGUUGUGAGAGUGUGGUAGAUGAGGAAAAAUUGGGGUCGUUUGUGAGCCAACCCCUGGAUUAGAGUAUCCACCUUCUUCGGACAUUUUCAUUCUUUGCCCACCGGCUCAGUUGAUUUGAAUUGCACUUAAAGUACUACAUCUAUGCUCCGGAGUCCGGAAAGCAGAGCAAUUUGCUUAAAUCUAUGGGACACUUAGCGUUAACGGGCCAAUUGUAGACAUCAAGAAACAAUCAAAGAUCUCAUGG